rnacentral:rRNA from 1 species
ACGAACGCUGGCGGCGUGCCUAAUACAUGCAAGUUGAGCGCUGAAGGUUGGUACUUGUACCAACUGGAUGAGCAGCGAACGGGUGAGUAACGCGUGGGGAAUCUGCCCUUGAGCGGGGGACAACAUUUGGAAACGAAUGCUAAUACCGCAUAAAAACUUUAAACACAAGUUUUAAGUUUGAAAGAUGCAAUUGCAUCACUCAAAGAUGAUCCCGCGUUGUAUUAGCUAGUUGGUGAGGUAAAGGCUCACCAAGGCGAUGAUACAUAGCCGACCUGAGAGGGUGAUCGGCCACAUUGGGACUGAGACACGGCCCAAACUCCUACGGGAGGCAGCAGUAGGGAAUCUUCGGCAAUGGACGAAAGUCUGACCGAGCAACGCCGCGUGAGUGAAGAAGGUUUUCGGAUCGUAAAACUCUGUUGGUAGAGAAGAACGUUGGUGAGAGUGGAAAGCUCAUCAAGUGACGGUAACUACCCAGAAAGGGACGGCUAACUACGUG